rnacentral:snRNA from 1 species
AGCUUUGCACAGUGGCAGUAUCGUAGCCAAUGAGGUUUAUCCAAGGUGCAAUUAUUGCUAAUUGAAGAUUUAACUAUUAGGAGUGUGCUGCUACAAAUAUGGAUAUGCAUGUAU